AUGAACGCUGGCGGCACGCCUAACACAUGCAAGUCGUGCGAGAAAGUAUCUUCGGAUAUGAGUAGAGCGGCGGACGGGUGAGUAACGCGUAGGAAUCUACCUAGUAGAAGGGGAUAGCCCGGGGAAACCCGGAUUAAUACCGUAUACCUCCUUCGGGAGAAAGAAGGCCUCUCUUUGAAGCUUUCGCUACUAGAUGAGCCUGCGUAAGAUUAGCUAGUUGGUGAGGUAAUGGCUCACCAAGGCUACGAUCUAUAGCUGGUUUGAGAGGAUGAUCAGCAACACUGGGACUGAGGCACGGCCCAGACUCCUACGGGAGGCAGCAGUGGGGAAUCUUGC
rnacentral:rRNA from 1 species